CUUAUAUUAAUUUACUCUUUGGUCGCUACCAAAGAGUAAAUUAAUCAUAAUCGCUCUCGCUCAAAGUCAAAGAAAAAUAGUAGGUAUUUAAAAUUUUAAAGUGUAAGAAUGAAAUGAUGAAUAUGUUCCUUGAUGAUGAGCAAGGAACAUAUUCUGUGGUGUAAAUCGAUAACGAAAUACGAGUACGACGGUCCAAAAUUAGCUUUUAAAAUUUAAAUAAAAUCAAGAUGAGACAUGAAUCAGUGAAGGUCCUACACAAAACAAAAAAUACAAUCUUCCCGACAAGCUUUCUUACAUGGCUUAUCCACUGGGCUUUGAUGCCUUACAGGCAAAGGAAGACUCCUUGUUGUCUCACACAUUGGAAGUGAAAAAGGUUUUGUGGAGGAUGGCUUGCUAAUAUUUGAAGCAAGAAAGGGUCUUGAUGACUAUCGCAAGGAGAUGAACUCAACAAUGUAUGAAACGUGGUUAAAACAAAUUCUCCCAAAAUUGAAAUUAAUAUAAAAUAUCCUAUAAGUACAGUAAUAAUAUGGUUUUUGAGAUUUUGGCUACAGAAGAACUCUCCAGAUGUUUAUGAAACAAAAUAAGAUGUUCCCUUGCCCUCAGAACUCAUGAUGGCAUCUUUAGUCACAAGGUGCAAUGAAAGAACAAUAUGGCAGCAAAAUGAAAUUUUUGAUGGCCUCAUAAAUUUCAGCAGUUUCAGGCGCAGUGGUAUGCGCGGUGGAUUUACGAGAUGGAGGUCCUGGGUUUGAUCCCCGGCUGGGCUAAUUGAGGUUUUCUUAAUUAGUCUAGGUCUGGCUGGUGGGAGGCAUCAGCCGUGGCUAGUUACCACCUUACCGACAAAGACGUACCGCCAAGCCAUUUAGCGUUCUGGUACAAUGUCAUGUAGAAACCAAAAGGGAUGGAUUUUCCUCCUUCUUCUUCCAUGUUAACCCGCUUCCAUCUUAGACUGCAUCAUCACUUACCAUUAGGUGAGAUUGUAGUCAAGGGCUAACUAGAAUAAAAAAAAAACAUCCGAACAUCAAUUGACGUCUAGUACUAAAUAUGGGCCUAAGAACUGCGAAAAGAUUAACUCUUACAUUCGUUAUAAGGUCUGUGGCGUGCACUAGGUUUUUAACUGGGGUUUUGACGACCUGUCUUUCAUAGUUAUAGUCUGGCAAGUUCGUUGAUGACACUCCCAUGAUAUGCGGGCGGGCGGAAAGACUGCGCGGGUGUGAAAUCGUGCGUGCGGGGAAGUGAGGUGCAUUGUGUCGGUGUUUCAUUCAUCGCUAUAAGUAGAUAUAAAAAAAAAUAUAUCUUCACAAUAACGCUUUCGUAAUUUACGGGUAGCCCAUAUUCAGCAGAUUUUAUUGCAUUGUGAAUUACACAUCCAAUACCUAUUAAUUCCUUUUUUUUCCGUGAUGAUUGUUAUUUCGUCAAUAAAUUGUUAGUUCCUCGCCUAAGCUGCGCCUCCAAAAUUUAUGUUGGCAUUGUCUGAUUAUUAUCUGUCAACACUUUGUUUAAAUAAUUGACAAUUGUCAGAAGUUUCGCCAGGUUGGUCUUGAAUAUUUAAAAAUUUUAAUUGGUCGCCUGGAUUUCAUCCAUGAGGAUUUCCUCCUAAAAUAAAAAAAUAAGCGUCUGUGGUCAGGGCUGUCUAUCGAUGAGUCUUUAGUAAACUCUCUGCUAAGGCUGUUCUAAAUUGUCGGUGCUGUAAGUUGUUGGUUUGUAAAUAACAAAACAGUUAAAUAUGGCUGCAUUAAAGUCGUCAAAAAAGUUUUUAUACCAAACUUUAUUCCAAACCCUCUCGACUGGCUGACAUCAUUUAUAAUUAAAUUAUAUAUGUAGCAGGCGAAUUCGUUUUUAUUUACAGAUGAAACAUUUCGUCCGUUGCGCCUUAACAAAGAUAUUUGUAUUUGUCUUGUUUCACGUCAAUUCUUACGAACGUACCGAAAACUACGCGCACAUUGCGUAAAACACACGCGCAAAAAUAAAAAUAUGAUCUUGACUCUUCCGACUCGACUCCACUGGCUGACUUGACAAAUACUGAUCUUUCGCAUCUACGCCGCCCAUGUGCUUGUAUAGUCAAGUAUUAGGCUUGGAUGUAGAUAGUUAAAUUGUACUUUUUAUGUUUCCCAAUAAUAUAAAUAGCAAGAUCAUGCUUACUAUAUUAGCGUCACGCAUUAUGUCGAUAAUGUAAUGUAAUUUAUAUUUAUUUUCGAGAGUGUCAUGUUAAAAUGGGCCUUUAUGUUGUGUGCCUUCUCG